ensembl:lncRNA
GUAUCAUCAUUGCCCAGCAGCUGAUUAAGACAAGAGAAAAUUUUUUCAAUUUGGAUCUUCCAUGGAUGGUGGUAAUCAUAUUUUGAAUGAUUUUCCAAGGAGACUAUGAAGAGUGCCUCUGUAAAAUUUUAAUUUUAUAGGAGGACCUCAGUCUCCGCGCGCCAAGCCAGGACUCAUGGAAAACGGCAGAGGAUGUGUUAGACCACCAGAGGGCGCUCCGGCACCGCAGGAGCGAGGAAAGCCAGUCUUGCAGCGGAAGUGAAACCGAUCAAGUGUUGCCUGUAAUCAGAUGGUGGCUCAGUGGUGAAGAAUCCGCCUGCCAAUGCAGGAGACAUGGGUUUGAUCCCUGGAUCGGAAAGAUCCCCUGGAGGAGGAAAUGGCAUCCCAUUCCAGUAUUCCGGCCUGGAGAAUCCCAUGGACAGAGAACCCUGGUGGGCUACAGUCCAUGGGGUCAAAAAGAGUCGGACACAACUUAGAGACUAAACAGCAACAAAAUCUCCUUAGGCUGCCUCACCUGUCCCCUCCCACGGAAACCACAGUAAGGACUCUGCCCCCUCAUCAUGUCCUCACUCCUGUCUGCCUCCUGGCUGAGCUGGUGCUGCCCUGGGGCAUGGUGGGCUCCCCCUUCUUGGGAUCUGAGAAUGGAACCCUGCUGUUUUCACUGCUCGCAUUUCUGACACCAAACAUGUGUUGCUGUUUUCCCACACCAACCACCAGUUCUCCGAUCCUCCAGACCCCUAAUGAGUGCCCCCAGGCACCCAUCAUCUUACCAUCAUUAACAUACAGAAAGGCAUUCUCAGGACUCGAGAUUCCAGGGUUUUCUGAGCUAUCUUGGAUGAAGACCAAAUAUUGAAACAAAUGAUGCUCUUCUCACUUCCGUCACUCAGGAAAUGACAAGGGUUUCAGAAACUCUGUCAGGAACUGGGGACAAAGAUCAAAUACAUAUUUCUUACUGCAUAAUAAACAUACUAUAAUAAUAAAC